AUUUUGACAUCCCUAAUUUGGCUGGUUCCUCGUACCCGUACACUUCCCCAGUGCCAGCAACGCUAUUCACUUCCUUAUUUUCCCCCUUUCUCCUACCAUAUUAAUACAAUUCUGAUCUUAUCUUGUAACUAUAAAAUUGGGUUUGUCUAUAUUCACGUAGAUGGUGAGGAUAAUUUCUAUGGCGUCAUCAAUUAGGCCCUCGCUUUCGUCUUUGAGUUUUUCAGGGAGCUCUCGUUUGGGCUUGUCUCUGCAUUCCUCCAAUUCCAGUCGGAGACUUGGUUUCUUACAUCUCGGCAGUUCGGUGUCACAGUUACAGUGCUCUGGCCUUAAAACUUCUAAGUUGUUUAGGGGAGAGGGCACCAGCAUAUCAGUUUGUGCAGCAGGUAACAUGGCACAAGCAAGUACUGAUAGUUCCCAAGAAAAGGCCUUAGAAUGGAUUAAGAAAGAUAAGAGAAGAAUGCUCCAUGUUGUUUACCGCGUGGGGGACUUAGAUAGAACAAUAAAAUUUUACACCGAGUGUCUUGGGAUGAAACUGCUUAGAAAACGUGAUGUACCUGAGGAAAAAUAUACAAAUGCAUUUCUUGGUUAUGGGCCAGAAGAUUCUCACUUUGUUAUUGAACUUACAUACAAUUAUGGGAUUGACAAAUAUGAUAUUGGGACCGCAUUUGGCCAUUUUGGCAUUGCAGUUGAGGAUGUAACAAAGACUGUGGAUCUCAUAAAAGCUAAAGGUGGUACAGUUACCCGAGAACCUGGUCCUGUCAAAGGUGGUAAAACAGUAAUUGCGUUUAUAGAAGAUCCUGAUGGUUAUAAGUUUGAGCUACUGGAGAGAGGUCCUACACCUGAGCCAUUGUGUCAAGUGAUGCUUCGAGUUGGAGAUCUUGAUCGUUCUAUCGAGUUUUAUGAGAAGGCUUUUGGCAUGGCGCUUCUUCGCAAGCGAGAUAAUCCUGAAUAUAAGACAAGUGUCGUGCCUGAGACUGAUUUUGUAUACUAUAGCAAUGAUGGGUUAUGGUCCGGAAGAUACCAAUACGGUCUUGGAGUUGACUUACAAUUAUGGUGUUACCGAAUAUGACAAAGGAAAUGCUUACGCUCAGAUAGCAAUAGGCACAGACGAUGUUUAUAAAACUGCAGAAGCAAUCAAGCUAUUUGGGGGAGUAGUUACUCGAGAACCUGGACCUUUACCUGGCAUUAAUACCAAGAUUACUGCAUGUCUUGAUCCUGAUGGUUGGAAGUCGGUCUUUGUCGACAAUAUUGAUUUUCUCAAGGAACUGGAGUAAGCUUUGUAAAAACUGUUGUGCCAAACUUCCGGAAAAGGGUUGAAUCCUGAUAUUUACGACAUCGUUCCCAGUUAUGGCUCGCUCGUGAAAUGAUUCAUCAAGAGGUUUCACAUAGAGAAGUGUGUGAAUUUCUACCUUAAGAGAUUAGAUUAGAGUGUCGUGUUAUCACAUUAGAGGUAUGUUCACACACUUGAGCUGCACUUUAGAAAAAAGUUUGCCAUUAUAAGUAUGGCCUUUUUGUUUAUAAUUAGCUCCAUAAUAAAGAAUAUAUCAACAAUCAUUUUCAUGUCAAAAUGUUGAAUGAAUUUGGUUUCCAAUCAUUUUCUACAA